rnacentral:tmRNA from 1 species
GGGGGUGUACAGGAUUCGACAUUCGUUUUGAAACGGUAUAAGCACGUCGUAGGCUCGUCUACGUUAAAACGGAACGCAAAAAUUAAACGCGAAUAAAAAUUCUAAGAGCGUCAACAAUAUGACGUUCGCCCUCGCUGCAUAAUUUAAGUCAGCGCGUCGCCCUGAGGUUUUCUGUUCCCUCGGCAAGCGGCGUCAGAAAAACAGACAACGUACUCUGAUUGCUCGGUAGGAGUACUGUCAUUGCGAGCUUAUCAAUCGGAGGUUUGCUGUUGAACCAAUGUGCGAAAAAUCCAAUCAACCGCUAAACGUGUAGAAAGUGCCGCCGAUAGGCGUUUGGACCGGGGUUCAACUCCCCGCAUCUCCACCA